rnacentral:rRNA from 1 species
GUGGGGAAUAUUGGGCAAUGGGCGAAAGCCUGACCCAGCAACGCCGCGUGAAGGAAGAAGGUCUUCGGAUCGUAAACUUCUAUCCUUGGUGAAGAUAAUGACGGUAGCCGAGAAGGAAGCCCCGGCUAACUACGUGCCAGCAGCCGCGGUAAUACGUAGGGGGCAAGCGUUGUCCGGAAUGAUUGGGCGUAAAGGGCGCGUAGGCGGCCUGGUAAGUCUGGAGUGAAAGUACUGCUUUUAAGGUGGGAAUUGCUUUGGAUACUGUCGGGCUUGAGUGCAGGAGAGGUAAGUGGAAUUCCCGGUGUAGCGGUGAAAUGCGUAGAGAUCGGGAGGAACACCAGUGGCGAAGGCGACUUACUGGACUGUAACUGACGCUGAGGCGCGAAAGUGUGGGGAGCAAACAGGAUUAGAAACCCCUGUAGUCC